GUGCUCACUUUGGCAGCACAUAUACUAAAAUUGGAAUGAUACAGAAAAAAUUAACAUGACCCUUUGCAAGAAUGACAAGAAAAAAAAGAAAAAAACCCUUCAAGAUG